rnacentral:rRNA from 1 species
CAGUCGCCGCGGUAAUACGAAGGGGGCUAGCGUUGUUCGGAUUUACUGGGCGUAAAGCGCACGUAGGCGGAUCGAUCAGUCAGGGGUGAAAUCCCAGAGCUCAACUCUGGAACUGCCUUUGAUACUGUCGAUCUGGAGUAUGGAAGAGGUGAGUGGAAUUCCGAGUGUAGAGGUGAAAUUCGUAGAUAUUCGGAGGAACACCAGUGGCGAAGGCGGCUCACUGGUCCAUUACUGACGCUGCGGUGCGAAAGCGUGGGGAGCAAACAGGAUUAGAGACCCCUGUAGUCCCUGUCUCUUAUAC